AUACAAACCUCUUUCAGUCUUCUUUCCCCCAAAUUGCUUUAGCCUUUAGAAAACAGUAGCAAUACCAAGAACGCGCCUCACGCGCGGAGAAAAACCAGAGGGAGAUCGAGAGUGCUCUCUCCCGGCCGAACGCCACCGGCUCACCUGCUACUGUGUUCCGGUCCGGGAGAGGAUGACAACAUGGUCUAGCGGCGGGUUCUAGGGCGGAAGCCUGGCUUAGGGAUGGAGGAGGGCGGCGCGAUCUCGGACGUAGAAGACCAAUCUGGACUCUUUCUUCUUGGAUCGCGGGUGACUUCCGACAUGGAACAUCGGCGAGGUGCGAUUUGCGGGCGGGGCACAUUUUUCCGGCUGCUUUUGGCGUCAUCGGUGCUUAUGAGAGCUUGGAGAUGGCUGGGUUCUCGAUCUCAUGGCAGAGGCGAGCCCAGAUGGGAUCCGAUUCCUUAUGGAAUUUGAUCUAGAACGAUGGCCAGGUUCUGGUAUGGGCGACUUUGUGGUGUGACAGUGUUGUGGCGUUGGGAUGCGAUGCAGCCGCGGGGCAGUGCAAGGUGGAGAGAUGGCGGGGUGUUAUUUUGGUUAUGUAGAGUGUAUCUGGAAAAACGUAUUUGCUUCCACAAUUGCAGCUAAUCAGCUAUAUCUCAAAGUUGAGCCACCCCCAACAGCUAAUGGCAGGAAAUUUGGUGGGAAUCCAGUUGUGGCAGUGUUUUACCUGGAGGACAAGUUUGCUCAUGGUGACUAUGACGCUAGUUGCUAGCCCUUUUGUAUUAUUAACUUCAGAUUAUCGAGAUCGUGCUCCUGGAGUUCCUUCAAGGCCUCAAACCCCAGCAGCCAACAGAGAUUUUUGAGUUGGUUUUAGAGAUUUUUGUGUGCAGGGAAGAAAAAGAAGAGAGAUAUUCAUUGCCACCAAACCCUCCAUAUAGUAGAAUCCUUAGAUCUGGCUCCUUAUGACAAGCAAGCAACUCCUGAACAGAAUUCUCUCAAGGGAAUGAAAGAUCCAAAGCUUGAUUGAAAUCUAAAGACACAAAAAGAAGAUGGGCCAAGGAGAUCAGGUCUUGUCACUUGCAUGCUACUCAAAGAAGACUCGGUAAAUUUAGAUGAUGCUAUGGAUCGAGACUGCAAAUAAUGUUGUUUUGUUGGAAAUAAAUGUUGCCUUAACACUUGAAGUCCUUUCUCUUUAACAGAAUACAUGAAGAUAUGCAUUGGUGCUGCACUGGCUGCAUAGCAUUGUUGCUGGCAACUUUGAUGGUAACAUUGGCAGUAUAGAAACUUGUCAGGAACUUUGUAAUAGUAAAGAUUUAACAAUUAUCUGGUAUUGUAUAUCCAUUCCUACUGUAUUUUAGAGACAAAUAUAUGAUUUUGUUUAAUAAAAGUGAAGGUGGAUUAUAUUA